rnacentral:lncRNA from 1 species
AGUCUCCGCCUCGCGAGGUACCUCCCCACCUUGCGAUCGGGGUCCCAAGAGCCAGGGGGGAAGAGGGGCUGGCUCUCUUUGUGGAUGAUUCUUUUUCCAUUCUCAGGCAGUUUUCUUUUUUCUUUCUUUUUUUUUUUUUGGAGGCUGAGUCUUGCUCUGUUGCCCAUGCUUUGCUGGAUCUCGGGUGACUGCAACCACUGCCUCCCAGGUUCAAGAGAUUCUCCUGCCUCAGCCUCCUGAGUAGCUGGGACUAGAGGCGUGUGUCACCACACCCAGCUAAGUUUUGUAUUUUUAGUAGAGAUGGGGUUUCACCAUGUUUGCCAGGAUGGUCUCUAUCUCCUGACCUUGUGAUCCACCCACCUCAGCCUCCCAAAGUGCUGGGAUUGCAGGUGGGAGCCACCGGGUCCAGCCUCUCCGGCGAUUUUCAUACCUGCAUACUCUGAUCACUACUCUGUUAAACAGUCAAGGAGGGUAAGUAUUAUCUUCAGAUUUCCAGAGCUCUGUCUCUGUACAGCCCUCUCCUCCUCAAUAUUCUGCCCUAUGAAUUCUAGCCACAUUGGCCUUCCCAGACUCACAGUUCUGUCUUCUCAACUCAGGAAGAUCUCUGAGCUCCAUCUGCAUUCUUUCUUCCUGUGCUGUGGCCUGGAAAGUUUUCUAAGGUGUUUGGGAGGUCAAUUGUGGGGCUAGCCUCAUUUGUUUCUCAUCUCUUGAGGAUCACUGCCCUUUGAUGCUUGAUUCCAGUGAUUGAUUCCCUUUGUUGCUUGAGGGCCAUAGUUUCAUAUAUUUUGUCCAGUAUUUUUGUUGUUUUAGGUCAGAAAGUAAUUUUGGUCUCUGUUACUCCAUCUUGGCCAGAAGUGUAAGACCUAAGCAUUUACACAUCAAAAUACUGCACACAUAAUUUUAGUUUAAGCUACCUUUAAAAAAAUCUGCUUCAUUUUCCAUUAAGCAUUCUAUUUAGGGUAUUACAUUGGUUUUUUUGAAAUUCUGUUAUUGGCAGUUUCUAUUGCCUAUCAAUCCCAUUUAAAGAUAGUGCAUAGGGUAUUCUAAAAUAGCUGUUAAGCAAAGAGAAAAUUGGGCCUGAUAGGGUGAGAAUCACAGCUCUAAUACCUAGAGUGACCUUAUAAUGUAUUGUCCAAAGGAGAUAUUUUUGACAGUGAAAGAGGGUGUUGUUAGUAAUUAUAUCAGGACCAUGGCCUAAACCAGGACUAUCCCAGGCAGCCUGGGACAUAUUUGUACCCCAUCUCUAUUUAAUGCCUUUAUACAAUUCUUUACUUAAUUCUACCAGCCUUUAUUGAGCCUGCUUUCUUUGUCUAGCUGAGUGCCACGUGCUGACGUCACUAAGAUCAAUACAGCAAACUCUGAAAGAUGGACAGAGAGACAGGAGAUGGUCCUUUAUAAUGCAGUGUGAUCUGUGCUGCAAUAGAGUUUUGGAAGCUAGAAGUUCAAAACGAGGUGUUGGCAGCACCAUGCUCUCUCUGAAGAUGCUAGGAAGAAUCUGCUCCAUGCCUUUCCAUUCGCUCCUGGGGUUUCCUGCAAGCCCUGACAUUCCUUGGCUUGUAGAUACACCACCCCAGUUUCCGCCCCCAUCAUCACAUGGCCUCCUCUCUGUGGGUGCCUCUGCGUUCCCUCUAUUCUUCUUCUAAGGACACCGACACCAGUCAUAGUGGAUUAAGGGUCCACUCCUAACUAAUUACAUCUGCAACCACCCUAUUUCCAAAUAAAGUCACAUUCUAAGA